rnacentral:rRNA from 1 species
AUUGAACGCUGGCGGCAGGCCUAACACAUGCAAGUCGAGCGAGCGGCGGACGGGUGUGUAAUGUCUGGGAAACUGCCUGAUGGAGGGGGAUAACUACUGGAAACGGUAGCUAAUACCGCAUACCAUCAGAUGUUCCCAGAUGGGAUUAGCUAGUAGGUGGGGUAAUGGCUCACCUAGGCGACGAUCCCUACCUGGUCUGAGAGGAUGACCAGACACACUGGAACUGAGCCACGGUCCGGACUCCUACGGGAGGAGGCAGUGGGGAGUAUUGCACAAUGGGCGAAAGCCUGAUGCAGCCAUGCCGCGUGUGUGAAAAAGGCCUUCGGGUUGUAAGGCACUUUAAGCGGGGAGACGUUACCCGCAGAAGAAGCACCGGCUAACUCCGUGCCAGCAGCCGCGGUAAUAC